ACGCACGCUGGCGGCGUGCUUAACCCCUGCCAGUCGAACGAUGAACCGGUUUCGGCCGGGGAUUAGUGGCGAACGGGUGAGUAACACGUGGGCAAUCUGCCCUGCACUCUGGGAUAAGCCCGGGAAACUGGGUCUAAUACCGGAUACGACACUCCGAGGCAUCUUGGGGUGUGGAAAGUUCCGGCGGUGCAGGAUGAGCCCGCGGCCUAUCAGCUUGUUGGUGGGGUAAUGGCCUACCAAGGCGACGACGGGUAGCCGGCCUGAGAGGGUGACCGGCCACACUGGGACUGAGACACGGCCCAGACUCCUACGGGAGGCAGCAGUGGGGAAUAUUGCACAAUGGGCGAAAGCCUGAUGCAGCGACGCCGCGUGAGGGAUGACGGCCUUCGGGUUGUAAACCUCUUUCAGCAGGGAAGAAGCGAAAGUGACGGUACCUGCAGAAGAAGCACCGGCUAACUACGUG
rnacentral:rRNA from 1 species